CAGCGGUGCGGAAGCUCCGCCACAGCGGCGCCCCCAGCGCGGCGGAGCGGGAACUACUGACGGAGCUAGAACGUCACCGGCACCUCGGCGCGCGCUUACAGGACCACGUGGCGCAACUCCGCGCGCACUCCGCUAGGAAGGCGGCCGAGCUCCAGAAAUGGAGGGACGAGUACAAGAAGAAAGACAUAGCCCUCGGCAAAUCCCACAGCGACGCCAUCUCCUCAAUCCUCCGCCAGCAGACCACCCAAAUAUCAACGCUGAUCGAAGAGGCCAAACUGAUAAAGGACCAACUCAGCAUCGUCUAAAUUAUUUGUUAUUAGCAUUUGUUUUUUAUAUUACCUUUUAUUUAAGUCAGUACAAGUAAAUUAUGUCUCGUAUGAUUGUUUAUGAAUAUUUUUCAGCUGAUUUCAUCUUUAUUUCAAAAGCAAAAGGCUCAAAAUGUAUCGUGGUCGUUGUGUAAAGUAAGUUUGAAAGUAAGAAUGAAAGAAGACUUGAAAAAUACAGGGAGUGCGACUGAGAGGGACAAGUAAGCAACAACCAAAACAAUUCUUCCGUAAACGCUUAUAGGUCGCUCAACAAGAGUUGAGGCUAUCAACACUAGCAAAGAUUUGUAUCUGUAUACGCUCGUGUUCCGUAGUGACACUGACAAGUACAUUCUGUCCCGCUUGCAGACAUGCGAGAUAACUAAUGUAUUUGAUAUAAUUUGGAAUCGAAUAUGUAAUUUCUUGUUUUUGUUCUGUAUUCAAAUAUAAUAAAAAUAAAUAAAAUAAAAUAAAUAUCCUUGGACAUUUUACACUGCGCUGCUAGUCCCAAACUAAGCAAAGCUUGUACUAUGGGCACUAGACAACGGAUAUACACAUACUUAAAUACUUUUACUUUGUAAAUACAUACAUAUUAUACAUAGAAAACACCCAGACCCGUCACAGAAAUUAAAAUUCAUCAUUUCAAUUUCUGCCCGGUCGGGAAUCGAACCUGGGACCUCUCGGCAUAGUAGUCCGUUCUGAACCACUACACCAAACGGCUGACAAUAUUACAUCAAUGUGAGUAGUGUUAGCUUCAACUUUCGUUGAGCGACCUAUACUUCUGACAGAUUGUCAAUGUCAGCAGAUCAAGGUAAACUGUAGCACCUUGUUAUAAAUGCGAUUUUGCAAGAAAACUUAAUCUGAUGUGCCCUUCUGUAUUUUAUUAUGGAUUGGGUAUGAUGUGAAUUCAUGGUUUAAAUGCUAUAACCUGUCCCUCAUAGUAGGUAGGUAGGAAAAGUAGAAAACUUUCCAUAGGGUAGGGCAAAUGUUGAAAGUUUUCAUUGGUUUCCGAUCUUAUGAUGAGUGAGUUUAGCUGGCAAUAUAAGGGACCCUGUAAAAGGUUAAAGGAAAGACAUAUUACAUGAGUCUCUCAGCAUAUUACAUGAGUCACUCACUUAUUUUGACUAUGUUUUAUGCCCGAAGGAAUCAUUGGAGUUUUCGAAUGAGUAUUUUUUUCUUUAUCUUCUCAACCUUAAUUUAUAAGUGUUAUAAAAUGAUGAUUGUGUUGGAGAUAUAAUGGUUUGUAGGUCUUGAUGUUGUAGUAUACUAAUUGUGUAACAAAUAUUUUUCCGUUAAAAUAUUCCUUAGUUAGGCCAUCCAAUGUGCCAAUACAUGAAAUCUGGAUGUUUAGAUUAGAAGAAAGUAUUGUAAACUGUCCAUAGAGAAAGUAAUACUUAGGUUUUUUUAUUAUCAGAAUAGCAGACUUUUCAGUUGUCAUAUUACAUUAAUCAGUAAAAACAUAUUUGACAUCUCAAUGUAUCAAUAGAUUGCCAGUAAAUCAACUCGUCUUAUAAUAAGUAAGUACUUAAAAAGUCAUAUAAAAUAAUGUAUGAUUUGUUACAGUGCGAGAAUGAGUGAAAUGAAGUGUGAAAAGAAUGUGUAUUAUAAAAUACGUGAGUGCGACUGAUGAAGAGAUGGGUAACUUUAAAAUUCCUUAAACCAACUCGGUAACUGCCGUUGCGUUAUUAACCGUAAUAAGCAUCCUUUCCUGAUUCUACGUGUCAAACCUUUCUUGUGCUCAAGACAUUUGAAGAACAUUUUCAAGACAUUUUUAGUUAUGAAUUAACUAAGUAUACUCAGUACACCCUGUAUACCCAGUACAAUGAGUAAAGCCUUGAUCACACGUACCGUGUAAACGGUCGAAACAGUUGGGUGAGCGAGUCACAUACUCGAGCGCUCGGCCGAGCACUCGGCGUAAUGUUCAUACACACCGAGUACUCGGCCGAGAGCAAACAUUUAAAAUGUUUACUCGGUCGAGACUCGAGACAGUGAUGUAAACGAGUAGCUGUUCACACGUGUUCUGAAAUUAGCACAGUCAGUUCAGUUCUAUUGAGACUUUUCUUUUUCUCUAAUCGGUGGACGUGACGUCAAUCAUUUGGCCGAGUGGCGAGACAGUGCACGUUCAGACCUGCCGAGCGAGCGAGCGAGACAGUGCGAGGCAGCGGGAGGGUGGAUACUCGGCCUAGUAAGUUGAACGGGGGUCGUGGUACUGUCUCGCCCGAUUACUCGGUACGUGUGAUCAAGGCUUUUUGCUUGUGUCUUACCAUUUAGGGAGUUGAAGGCGUGGUCUGGCAUGGUCAUACUGCUCUUUUUAGCAGCAAUGGAGAAGUUUCGUGAUGUUGAAAACAUAUUCACUGAAUGGGAUUAAAAUGUAGACCAAAACUAAAACGCCGGUGAAGGUUUUUUAGAAAUCCAUCAAGAAAUGGUUGAGAAAUUAAUUAUUUAAAUUACCUACAUAUUUUCGCGUGGAACUUAAAUGCGGUGCCGUGUCGUCAGAUCACCUGUUCAAGUUUCAAUCACAAUGCUUACCACCCCUAACGUAUUGUCGAAAAUGACACUAUAAUGUCAAAGUCUUCUUUUUCUUUUUGUAUAUGGCUAGGUCUUGGAUAUGUCAAAAAAAGGUUACACAAUUUUACUAAGAAAGAAUUUUGAGUUGGCUGAAAAAUUAAAAGCUACUAGAUUUAUAAAAAUUGGAUCUGUCAAAAGCACUGGACCAGGGUUAAUGCACUGUUUGUACUCCAAAUGAAUGGCGUGAAGUCACCGUUCAAAUGGCGCGAAACAUUUGUUAUGCGCAUCUUUAGGGCCCCGUAACUUCUUUAUUUGUAGAGAUAUUUUCAUGAUUCUUUCACCAAUAUUAUUGGUUUUACUUAUAUUUUUAAAUUUUAUUAAUAGAAAAAAAUUGGCAACUUCUCCAUUGUCGCUCCAUCUGGCAUGGGGCAUCUCAUAUGUGUUGUAUGUUAACAGUAAUACGCCUGUUCUAAAGUUAAGAGAAAAUAAAUAUGAAGACCUGCGUCAACGUAUAACAAAGGUACCUACCAUAAAAUAUUCUUUGUCGUUUUGUAUUUAAUAUAAAAAAUACUAAGAAUAACCAAAUAGAAGUAAUUAUUGGACAUGCAUGAUUGUAUUGUUGAUUGAUAUUUGUCUUGACAUCUCAAUGUGAUUUUUUUAAUUAAUAAAGAUCAGUAAAAGAA